rnacentral:lncRNA from 7 species
CGAAAAAGGAAGACCCAGACUUGCAAGCCAAGGAUUGGGCUGAAUAAGAACAAAUUAAAGCACCGGCGCGAAAUCAUACUGCCUCUAUCAUGUCGAUUCUGUGGCUACUGCGAUAAUUAUGCGACUACUUAAUUCCACGCUAUUAGGUGGCCGCCGGAGAGCGCUGGAUCGCUUUUGCCUUUGGCUAGGCUUUUUCUCCUGUGAUGGUGUCGAGAAUCGCUCCGGGCCUGAAACACAUGGAUGCCGAUCUUCAGUCCAGAGAGGCAGAAGAAGGGCAUCAAUGCAGACCAGCAGGGCUCCUUAUCAGUGGCCAGACUAAUGGCGCAUCUGUG